rnacentral:tRNA from 1 species
GCAAAUAUAGUUUUAAUUAAAACAUUAGACUGUGAUUCUAAAAACAGAAGUUCAAACCUUCUUAUUCGCC